rfam:Pseudomonas sp. FeS53a scaffold58.1, whole genome shotgun sequence.
CGUGUCGGCAGACCGCGCGAGGAGGCCUAGCGGCCUGCCGGGACCUGAUACCGGUCUGCCAAACUCGCGCGGUCUGCCCUCCUG